rnacentral:tRNA from 1 species
GCCUGGGUGGCUCAGUCGGUUGAGCGUCCGACUUCUGCUCAGGUCAUGAUCUCACAGCUCGUGAGUUCGAGCCCCACAUCGGGCU